AUACUUACUUGGCAAAGGAGAUACCAUGAUCAUGAAGGUGGUUUUCCCAUGGGGAGACUCAUCCAUUGCACUGUGGAUGUGCUGACCCCUGCUAUUUCCCCAAAUGCUGGAAACUCAACUGCAUAAUUUGUGGUAGUGGGGGACUGCGUUUGUGCUUUCCCCUG
rnacentral:snRNA from 1 species